GACGAAGGAUGCAAGCGUUAUCCGGAUUCAUUGGGUUUAAAGGGAGCGUAGGCGGAUUUGUAAGUCAGUGGUGAAAUCUCGCGGCUUAACUGCGAAACUGCCAUUGAUACUGCAGAUCUUGAGUACAGUUGCCGUUGGCGGAAUAUGACAUGUAGUGGUGAAAUACAUAGAGAUGUCAUAGAACACCGAUUGCGAAGGCAGCUAACGAAACUGUAACUGACGCUGAGGCUCGAAAGUGUGGGGAUCAAACAGG
rnacentral:rRNA from 1 species